GGCUACGAAUCACGGAAACGGUGAAAGGGGGAAAAGGGCGAAAGCGGUCUACUCUCUUCGUUCUCAACUGUAGAAAUAAAGCUCGCAAUAGGUUAAGAAAUCUGUCAGGUAUGCUCCAGAAGUUCAAGGCCACUUUUCAAAGGAUGGAAGCAAAACAAAGCCUCUGGUGCUGGUAGAUUAAUCUCUGUGAGGAUCUUAAGAUUCAAGCAUAGUAAGGUGAUUCUUCAGGUGGGUUUAGAAUUCAUAUUUUGUAGAACCCUCACUAGUUUAGAUUAUAGUUUUGGCAUUUGGAUAAAGUCAAAUGUGUUGCUGUUUUAGCUUUCCAGGGAUGUAUGUAAGGAUAGUAUUUUUUUAACCUCUCUUAGUAGCAAUUGGAGUUGUCUAUGCAGGUUAUAUCUGUUCGGUAAUUGUAUUACAAUUUCUUACAUAAUACAAAUUGCAAUACAAAGCUUUUGCAGUA